rnacentral:rRNA from 1 species
GUUAAGCGACUAAGCGUACACGGUGGAUGCCCUGGCAGUCAGAGGCGAUGAAGGACGUGCUAAUCUGCGAUAAGCGUCGGUAAGGUGAUAUGAACCGUUAUAACCGGCGAUUUCCGAAUGGGGAAACCCAGUGUGUUUCGACACACUAUCAUUAACUGAAUCCAUAGGUUAAUGAGGCGAACCGGGGGAACUGAAACAUCUAAGUACCCCGAGGAAAAGAAAUCAACCGAGAUUCCCCCAGUAGCGGCGAGCGAACGGGGAGCAGCCCAGAGCCUGAAUCAGUGUGUGUGUUAGUGGAAGCGUCUGGAAAGGCGCGCGAUACAGGGUGACAGCCCCGUACACAAAAAUGCACAUGCUGUGAGCUCGAUGAGUAGGGCGGGACACGUGGUAUCCUGUCUGAAUAUGGGGGGACCAUCCUCCAAGGCUAAAUACUCCUGACUGACCGAUAGUGAACCAGUACCGUGAGGGAAAGGCGAAAAGAACCCCGGCGAGGGGAGUGAAAAAGAACCUGAAACCGUGUACGUACAAGCAGUGGGAGCACGCUUAGGCGUGUGACUGCGUACCUUUUGUAUAAUGGGUCAGCGACUUAUAUUCUGUAGCAAGGUUAACCGAAUAGGGGAGCCGAAGGGAAACCGAGUCUUAACUGGGCGUUAAGUUGCAGGGUAUAGACCCGAAACCCGGUGAUCUAGCCAUGGGCAGGUUGAAGGUUGGGUAACACUAACUGGAGGACCGAACCGACUAAUGUUGAAAAAUUAGCGGAUGACUUGUGGCUGGGGGUGAAAGGCCAAUCAAACCGGGAGAUAGCUGGUUCUCCCCGAAAGCUAUUUAGGUAGCGCCUCGUGAAUUCAUCUCCGGGGGUAGAGCACUGUUUCGGCAAGGGGGUCAUCCCGACUUACCAACCCGAUGCAAACUGCGAAUACCGGAGAAUGUUAUCACGGGAGACACACGGCGGGUGCUAACGUCCGUCGUGAAGAGGGAAACAACCCAGACCGCCAGCUAAGGUCCCAAAGUCAUGGUUAAGUGGGAAACGAUGUGGGAAGGCCCAGACAGCCAGGAUGUUGGCUUAGAAGCAGCCAUCAUUUAAAGAAAGCGUAAUAGCUCACUGGUCGAGUCGGCCUGCGCGGAAGAUGUAACGGGGCUAAACCAUG